rnacentral:rRNA from 1 species
CAAUAGCGUAUAUUAAAGUUGUUGCAGUUAAAAAGCUCGUAGUCGGAUUUUGGCAUCACGCCGCACUGUCUGCCGAUUGGUAAGUACGGUUUGGCGGUUGCUUCCUUCCGGUGCUGUAUGCUGCUCUUAAUUGAGCGGUAUGCUAGUUCCGGUUCAUUUACUUUGAGAAAAUUAGAGUGUUCAAAGCAGGCCUAUGCUCUGAAUAGGUUAGCAUGGAAUAAUAGAAUAGGACUUUGGUUCUAUUUUGUUGGUUUCUAGGACCGAAGUAAUGAUUAAUAGGGACAGUUGGGGGCAUUCAUAUUCCAUUGUCAGAGGUGAAAUUCGUGGAUUAACGGAAGAUGAACUUCUGCGAAAGCAUCUGCCAAGGAUGUUUUCAUUGA